GACGAACGCUGGCGGCGUGCUUAACACAUGCGAGUCGAACGGAAAGGCCCUGCUUGCAGGGUACUCGAGUGGCGAACGGGUGAGUAACACGUGGGUGAUCUGCCCUGCACUUCGGGAUAAGCCUGGGAAACUGGGUCUAAUACCGGAUAGGAGCCAUUUUUAGUGUGAUGGUUGGAAAGUUUUUUCGGUGUAGGAUGAGCUCGCGGCCUAUCAGCUUGUUGGUGGGGUAAUGGCCUACCAAGGCGGCGACGGGUAGCCGGCCUGAGAGGGUGGACGGCCACAUUGGGACUGAGAUACGGCCCAGACUCCUACGGGGGGCAGCAGUGGGGAAUAUUGCACAAUGGGCGCAAGCCUGAUGCAGCGACGCCGCGUGGGGGAUGACGGCCUUCGGGUUGUAAACGCCUUUCGCUAGGGACGAAGCUUUUUGUGACGGUACCUAGAUAAGAAGCACCGGCUAACUACGUG
rnacentral:rRNA from 1 species